rnacentral:lncRNA from 1 species
CGACAUUUUCAAGGAUGAGUACAACUAUUUUUAUGACAAGUGGUUACUGCUGUCUGCCCUAGUGUAGUGAUUACUGAUGUCUGACCUAGUGCCUAGUGUAGUGGUUACUGCUGUCUACCCUAGUGUAGUGGUUACUGCUGUCUACCCUAGUAUAGUGGUUACUGCAGUCUGCUCUAGUGUAGUGGUUACUGCUGUCUACCCUAGUGUAGUGGUUACUGCUGUCUACCCUAGUGUAGUGGUUACUGCUCUCUGCUCUAGUGUAGUGGUUACUGCUGUCUGCUCUAGUGUAGUGGUUACUGCUGUCUGCCCUAGUGUAGUGGUUACUGCUGUCUACCCUAGUGCCUAGUGUAGUGGUUACUGCUGUCUGCUCUAGUGUAGUGGUUACUGCUCUCUACCCUAGUGUAGUGGUUACUGCUGUCUGCACUAGUGUAGUGGUUACUGCUGUCUGCCCUAGUGUAGUGGUUACUGCUGUCUACCCUAGUGUAGUGGUUACUGCUGUCUACCCUAGUGUAGUGGUUACUGCUGUCUACCCUAGUGUAGUGGUUACUGCUGUCUGCUCUAGUGUAGUGGUUACUGCUGUCUGCCCUAGUGUAGUGGUUACAGUGAGCUGUGUGUUGGGUAUAGAGACAUAUUACCAUGGGUUAUAGUGGGCUUUGUGUUGUGUAUAGAGACAUAUUAACAUGGGUUAUAGUGGGCUGUGUGUCGGGUAUAGAGACGUAUUACCAUGGGUUAUUGUGGGCUGUGUGUUGGGUAUAGAGACAUAUUUCCAUGUGUUAUAAUGGGCUGUGUGUUGGGUAUAGAGACAUAUUACAAUGGGUUAUAGUGGGCUGUGUGUUGGUUAUAGAGACAUAUUACCAAGGUUUAUAGUGGGAUGUGUGUUAGGUAUAGAGACAUAUUACCAAGGGUUAUAGUGGGCUGUCAGUCGGGUAUAGAGACAUAUUACCAUGGGUUAUAGUGGGCUGUGUGUUGGGUAUAGAGACAUAUUACCAUGGGUUAUAGUGGGCUGUGUGUCAGGUAUAGAGACAUAUUACCAUGGGUUAUAGUGGGCUGUGUGUUGGGUAUAGAGACAUAUUACCAUGGGUUAUAGUGGGCUGUGUGUUGGGUAUAGAGACAUAUUACCAUGGGUUAUAGUGGGCUGUGUGUUGGGUAUAGAGACAUAUUACCAUGGGUUAUAGUGGGCUGUGUGUUAGGUAUAGAGACAUAUUACCAUGGGUUAUAGUGGGCUGUGUGUUGGGUAUAGAGACAUAUUACCAUGUGUUAUAGUGGGCUGUGUGUUGGGUAUAGAGACAUAUUACCAUGGGUUAUAGUGGGCUGUGUGUUGGGUAUAGAGACAUAUUACCAUGGGUUAUAGUGGGCUGUGUGUUAGGUAUAGAGACAUAUUACCAUGGGUUAUAGUGGGCUGUGUGUCGGGUAUAGAGACAUAUUACCAUGGGUUAUAGUGGGCUGUGUGUUAGGUAUAGAGACAUAUUACCAUGGGUUAUAGUGGGCUGUGUGUUGGGUAUAUAGACAUAUUACCAUGGGUUAUAGUGGGCUGUGUGUUAGGUAUAGAGACAUAUUACCAUUGGUUAUAGUGGGCUUUGUGUUGUGUAUAGAGACAUAUUACCAUGGGUUAUAGUGGGCUUUGUGUUGUGUAUAGAGACAUAUUAACAUGGGUUAUAGUGGGCUUUGUGUCGGGUAUAGAGACAUAUUAACAUGGGUUAUAGUGGGCUGUGUGUUAGGUAUAGAGACAUAUUACCAUGGGUUAUAGUAGGCUGUGUGUUGGGUAUAGAGACAUAUUACCAUGGGUUAUAGUGGGCUGUGUGUCGGGUAUAGAGACGUAUUACCAUGGGUUAUAGUGGGCUGUGUGUUGGGUAUAGAGACAUAUUACCAUGGGUUAUAGUGGGCUGUGUGUUGGGUAUAGUGACAUAUUACCAUGGGUUAUAGUGGGCUGUGUAUUGGGUAUAGAGACAUAUUACCAUGGGUUAUAGUGGGCUGUGUGUUAGGUAUAGUGACAUAUACCAUGGGUUAUAGUGGGCUGUGUGUUAAUUAUUGAGACAUAUUACCAUGGGUUAUAGUGGGCUGUGUGUCGGGUAUAAAGACAUAUUACCAUGGGUUAUAGUGGGCUGUGUGUUAGAUUUAGACACAUAUUACAAUGGGUUAUAGUGUGCUGUGUGUUAGGU